rnacentral:lncRNA from 1 species
UCUCAACCAACAUACACAAAUUAGUUUUAAUUUAUAGAGAUAAGUAAAUUAAAUUCACAAUUGAUGAAACGCAAUUGGAAGUAAUCAAAUCAUAUAGCAAGCAUAAACAUGGUUUUGAAUCCUGAUGUGAAAAUUAACUAGCACUCAAAUUAAACCCUCUUUUUAUCAAUUGUAGCAAUGUAUGUAAGUAGGGAUCGUUCUAGACCGGGGAUUAGGAGGGAUUGCAAAAUCACUUGGAAUUGACUCAAAUAUGUAAAAACAAGUUUAAAAUACUAAACUAGACUCAAAGAAUGCAAAA